rnacentral:misc_RNA from 1 species
ACACAGAUUGUCUGAUGAAAUUAAUGAGCAAGAGCACCUGUUGAUGCGGUAAGGGCAACCUUACGCUGAUGCGAAGAGUGCCAGGGCACGAAAGUGGGCUGGUACGGAAUUUUCGUGUCCCCAUCGUCUAGAGGCCUAGGACACUGCCCUUUCACGGCUGUAACAGGGGUUCGAAUCCCCUUGGGGACGCCAUUCCGAUAAUGUGUGAAAGACAUUAUCACCGGUCUUAACGGACCAGAAUACCUUAAAGAUGACUCUCACGAGUCGUGUUUAAGAUAUUGCUCUUUAACAAUCUGGAACAAGCUGAAAAUUGAAACGACACAGCUGAAACUUAUCUCUCCGUAGAUGUACUGAGAUAAGGAGUACCCUGUGUUGAGUCUCUCAAGACUUGCAAACCGAGGUGAAACAC